rnacentral:rRNA from 1 species
UACGUAGGAGACGAGCGUUGUCCGGAGUUACUGGGCGUAAAGGGCGCGUAGGCGGUCGUGACAAGUCACUUGUGAAAUCUCCGGGCUUAACUCGGAACGGUCAAGUGAUACUGUCGGACUAGAGUACAGAAGGGGCAACUGGAAUUCUCGGUGUAGCGGUGAAAUGCGUAGAUAUCGAGAGGAACACCUGCGGCGAAGGCGGGUUGCUGGGCUGAUACUGACGCUGAGGCGCGAAAGCCAGGGGAGCGAACGGG